rnacentral:lncRNA from 1 species
AUAAAAUAAAACUGUUACCCAAAUAGAUGAGAGCAUCAGCACAAUAUUUACUUACAGAACAAGUACAAGCCAAUCAUUCAGUCGAUUGCAGUGUCAUUCUGGAAAAUAGAAUAUCCACAGUACCAUUUUACUGACACAGUUAAGAAAUUACGCCUAGAAAGUUUGAAAAUAAGAAUAAAAUAAUCUAUGGUCCACUGUCCCAGCAGAUUACGGUGCAGAUACCAAAUAAAUUACAAUAGAGCAGCAACGUGUAUAUUCUGAAAUAAAUGAACCUAGAAAAUUACAAUUACAGUGCAGAUCACAAAAAAAUACAACAGAGCAGCAACUUGUAUAUUCUGAAAUAAAUGAACCUAGAAAAUUACAAUUACAGUGCAGAUCACAAAAAAUUACAACAGAGCACCAACUUGUAUAUUCUGAAAUAAAUGAACCUAGAAAAUUACAAUUAAGGUGCAGAUCACAAAAAAUUACAACAGAGCACCAACUUGUAUAUUACAGAGUACUAACCAAUAAAAGAACAUAGGAAAUUACAGUGCAGAUCACAAAUAAAUUAUAACAGAGCACCAACUUGUAUAUUACAGUGUAUACAACAG